rnacentral:rRNA from 1 species
UACGUAGGGGGCAAGCGUUAUCCGGAUUUACUGGGUGUAAAGGGAGCGUAGACGGCAGUGCAAGUCUGGAGUGAAAGGCGGGGGCUCAACCCCCGGACUGCUCUGGAAACUGUACGGCUGGAGUGCAGGAGAGGAGAGUGGAAUUCCAUGUGUAGCGGUGAAAUGCGUAGAUAUAUGGAGGAACGCCGGUGGCGAAAGCGGCUCUCUGGCCUGUAACUGACACUGAGGCUCGAAAGCGUGGGGAGCAAACAGG